AUGACCUACUGAAGAUGGAUGGUUUCUACUGCUAUGUUCAUCCGUUCUUGCGGUGCCUCAGACUAUCAGGUUCAUCUGCAAAAUCUGGCUCUGGGUAAAUUACUUGUAUGGAGAUGAGAAGCACGUAGAGUGAUAUUCUGGUGCUUAAGUUUUAAUUGACUCCGCAGUUUGCGUGGAAAUGACUGAUGUACAUGCUGUGACGAAGUCUUUUCCAUCUCCUGGAGUUUCCUUUCUGCAACCUCCACCUCAUGGAACUGGAACAUCACCAAGUGCUGUAACCAAUGCACUAGAUGCUCAGCUGAAUCCUUCAAGUGAUGAUCAAUCAACAUGCAAAUAUCUCAAAAACAUUCAUAUGUCAGAACGAUUGAUGGAGGAUUUUCUUAAUGCUGCUAGCAGCAACACUACCAAAGAUCUCGAGACAUGUGGAGUUCUUGGUGCAUUCCUUAAUAAUGAGACUUUUUAUGUUACUACUCUGAUAAUUCCAAAACAAGAGGCCACCUCAAACUCUUGUCAGGCAUUAAAGGAGGAAGAGAUUCAUGCCAUCCUAAAUGAUGAGACCCUAUUCCCCAUUGGGUGGAUUCAUACUCAUCCAUCUCAGAGUUCGUUCAUGUCGUCGAUUGAUCUGCACACCCAAUACACAUAUCAGAUGAUGGUACCCGAAGCAGUGGCAAUUGUCGUUGCUCCAAGUGAUGACUCCAGGAAAUACGAAAUAUUCAGGCUCUCUGACCCCGAGGGAAUGAGCAUUCUCAAGGAAUGCAAGGAAACUGGCUUUCAUCCUCACAAAGAACCUACAAAUGGAGCCUCUAUAUACGAGGAUUGCUCUCAUAUCAUCUUCAGCCAAAACCUGAGACUUGAAAUAUGUGACUUGCGAUGACAACCAAGAUUUCCUAUAAUGGGAAGCUUGAGCAUUGGUCGUAGAAGUGAAUAUUUCUAGGCUAUGCAGAUGGGACGAAUGGCUAUAGAUUGUACGGUAGUUUGUGAGAAGGUCGAGUUAGGGGAAAAGGACAAGAAGGUACUUCAAUCUAGUCUACUAAUAGUCGUAAGAUCACUUGUGUCUGAAAUUCGAUUUCAAUCCGAAUAGACCGAAAAUAAGGAAAUUCAAAAAUUCAAAAUUUGAAAAUUUAAAUCCAAAUUAUGAAAUUUGAACCAAAUCGAAAAUUUCAAAAUUGCAUAAUAUGUUGAAUCCAAAAUUUUGACGAUUUUAUUAAAAUAU